rnacentral:tRNA from 1 species
UCCCUGGUGGUCUAGUGGGCAAGACUCUGUGCUCCCAAUGCAGGGGGCCCGGGUUUGAUUCCCAGUCAGGGGA